GUAAUCUGCCCUGCACUUCGGGAUAAGCUUGGGAAACUGGGUCUAAUACCGGAUAGGAGCCAUCUUUAGUGUGGUGGUUGGAAAGUUUUUCGGUGUAGGAUGAGCUUGCGGCCUAUCAGCUUGUUGGUGGGGUAAUGGCCUACCAAGGCGGCGACGGGUAGCCGGCCUGAGAGGGUGGACGGCCACAUUGGGACUGAGAUACGGCCCAG
rnacentral:rRNA from 1 species